AGGAUGAAGGGUUUGAUCCUGGCUCAGGGUUAACGCUGGCGGCGUGCGUAACACAUGCAAGUCGAACGGGCCAUUACUCUUUGGAGUGAUGGUUAGUGGCGAACGGGUGAGUAAAAGGUAGGGACCUACCCCGAGGACAGAGAUAGCUACUGGAAACGGUAGGUAAACUCUGAUAAGCCCGAGAGGGGAAAGUGGAAGGCAGCCUUGGGAUGGACCUACUAUCCAUCAGGUAGUUGGUGAGGUAAAGGCUCACCAAGCCGAUGACGGAUAACCGGUGUGAGAGCAUGUACGGUCACAAGGGCACUGAGACACGGGCCCUACUCCUACGGGAGGCAGCAGUGGGGAAUAUUGGACAAUGGGCGAAAGCCUGAUCCAGCGACGCCGCGUGAAGGAAGAAGUCCUUCGGGAUGUAAACUUCUGAACUAAUCGAAUAAAAGGGUAGUGGACACACUACAGAAGAAGGUAGAUUAGGAAAAGUCCCGGCUAACUACGUGCCAGCAGCCGCGGUAAGACGUAGGGGGCGAGCGUUGCCCGGAAUCACUGGGUGUAAAGGGGACGUAGGCGGAUGAUCAAGUCAUCUGUGAAAAGAUUGCUCAACGAUUGGCUUGCGGAUGAAACUGGUCAUCUUGGGCGUAGCAGAGGUAGACGGAAUUACCUGAGUAGGGGUGAAAUCCGCAGAUACAGGUAAGAACGCCGGUGAAGAAGUUGGUCUACUAGGCUACAGCUGACGCUGAGGUCCGAAAGCCAGGGGAGCGAACCGGAUUAGAUACCCGGGUAGUCCUGGCUGUAAACGAUGCUCACUAGGUGUAGGGAGCGAAAGACUCUCUGUGCUGAAGCUAACGCGAUAAGUGAGCCACCUGGGGAGUACGUCCGCAAGGAUGAAACUCAAAGGAAUUGACGGGGGUCCGCACAAGCGGUGGAGCAUGUGGUUUAAUUCGAAGCUAACCGAAGAACCUUACCAGGGAUUGACAUGUAACUGAAGGUAGAGAAAUCUACUGGCCUGCCGUGAGGUAGGAGGUUACACAGGUGGUGCACGGUCGUCGUCAGCUCGUGCCGUGAGGUGUUGGGUUAAGUCCCACAACGAGCGCAACCCCUACAAUUAGUUACCAGCAAGUAAAGUUGGGGACACUAAUUGGACAGCCGCCGACGAGGCGGAGGAAGGAGGGGAUGACGUCAGAUAAGCGUGCCCCUUAUACUCUGGGCGACACACGUGCUACAAUGGGGAGGACAAAGGGAAGCGAAGCCGAGAGGUGGAGCGGAUCCGAAAAAACUCUCCGUAAUAUGGAUUGUAGGCUGAAACUCGCCUACAUGAAGCUGGAAUCGCUAGUAAUCGCAGGUCAGCCAAACUGCGGUGAAUACGUUCCCGGGCCUUGUACACACCGCCCGUCACGCCACCCGAGUUGGGAACACCUGAAGGCAGUACGGAAGGUACUGUUGAAGGUGGGCUUGGCGAGGGGGGCGAAGUCGUAACAAGGUAGGUGUACCGGAAGGUGCGCCUGGAUCACCUCCUUUCUAAGGAGA
rnacentral:rRNA from 1 species